AACCCAUGGUAAGGACACUCUCUUCGGUACUCCUUGUACCUUUCCCAAACUUUGCAGAAAGCUUCUCCUGGCUGCUGCCUGAAAAAUGAGAUCUUGUUCCUCAGAGAU
rfam:Eutrema salsugineum unplaced genomic scaffold scaffold_5, whole genome shotgun sequence.